UGAAAUCUUGAGAAAAGGGACUGGCAGGGGUUUCGGAAGCGUUGGGGCCUCCUGCCCUGCCCUGCCCUGCCACUCUGGGAGUAUGAAAAGGUCAACCCCAAAGCCUAACUGGGCACCUGUCAGAAACCACGGGCAGACACUGGAAACUUUCACUUGGAUGCUCGGUCAUAGGGGCGUUCGUGGUCAUGAUGCCACUCUUAUGUUUGAACGUCGUGGGCUGUAAGUGUUUUUAUUUUAUUUUAUUUUAUUUUUACAAUGAGGGGGUUAUUCUCUUCAGUUUAUAGGGUUGACAUUUGUAAUACCACGGUAUUUUUUUUGUUUUUAUUUAUUUUCAUUUUCAUUUUUUUCUGACUGGGUUAUCAAACUAUUCCAAAGUAGAAGAUUUUCAUUUAUGGGUGAGCUGCAAGCUAUAAACAUGGUGUGUGGGUAGGAGCUCUGGGAUCAAUUAACAGGCUGAUAGUGGACAAAAAUAUAGUGCCAAAGACGGGGAGCUUCCACCAAGUGCCCUGUGACCAGAAAACAAGGCAAUGAACAAGCUUGUGGGAUUCAUUAAACUCAAGGCAUUUACUCAUCCUUUCCAUUGACAUGUUCAUCAAUAUAUGUAUAUAUACAUAUAUAUAUAUAUCUAGAGUUCUCCGAGGAUGACCACAAGUGUGUGUGUGUGGGGGGGAGGAGAUAGAAGCUCUUUCAGUUAUUCAUGGAUUGAAUAUGUGUAUGGAUGAGAAUAGACACUUGGACAAAUGGAGUAGUCUCUCAAUAUUUAGCUUUAUUUUGUUACUUGGUUGGAGAGUUUUGAGAAAAUGAUGUUCAUUUCACUACAUCAACAUUUGGAUUAAAACAUCAUAUUCUGAAAUAAAGUAAUGUUCUUUGAGUUGUAUAUAACUAUAUAUAUGCAUUGGUUUUAGUUGCUAUUCUUUUCUAUGUAUGUAAAAAUCAAUAAAUAAGUGUACCUAUUAUAUGUUGCUAGUGCAAAUAUCCUGAUUAUAUAUAUUUUUUACAUUUGAAAGAGAAUUUAAAAUAUAACAUUUUUUGAAUAGUUCUUAUGAAAAAACUAUCUCUCUAAAUUUGGCUGAAUAGCAAAACAUAGAAUUCACUUUUUCAUUUUUUUUCUCAAACCAUCAAAGUAAGUAUGGCUUGUUCAUUAAUUUCUACACAAAGCAACUUUCUAAAAUGUUUGUAUGCAGGUAUUUCACAAUGGAUAGAGUCAAGGCCAUAUGAAGGCGCAUUUUGAUUUUCUAUUAUUCAAAUACUACUUCACAUAUUUAUAACAUUCAAUGCUUUGAAUUUCCAACAAGUGAAUAUGUUCUCAUUAGAAACUACAAACAGGAAGUUUUAGGUCAAUCAACCUUCAUUGUGAACUUUCCUUGAAACCUUUACAUUUUGAAACAAACAGUUCAUAUAUCAAACAAAAAUAAUUUAUAAAUUUUAGACAUUUUGGUGUGGUCAGAUAGUAAUGAUAUAUUUAACCCCAUGGUUUGAAUAUAGAUUAUCAACAACUUCAACAAAUGGAGUUCACACAAAGUGAGGAAAAUGCUUCAUCUUCCCAUUAAUCACAUUCUGCACACAUGUCCCCAGAUUCAGCUUUGGAACCAUCAACCCACACAUGUUGCUCCUGAGAUAAACAGAGUUUUGUUCCAGAUGAAUGAAUCUCUGACCUUGCUGUUGUUCAUAAAUACAUAAAUAAAUAAAUAAAUACUAGUGAAAACUUGUGAUGUUUGAGCACACAAAUAAUACCAAUAAAAUGGGUAGGUUUUAUACAAAUAUCUUAAAAAAAUCAAGACCCCAUGCUGUUGGUAAAUUUGCUUCAAAGUUGUUUGACCCAAUGUGCCAAAUCUAUCACAAACCAAAUCAACCACAUGUC
rnacentral:lncRNA from 1 species